GGUCGGUUAGCUCAGUUGGUUAGAGCGUAAGUUGAAAUCAUCAUUCGAGUGGUCAGCAAUCACUAAUACGACGUAGGUGGUGCUAAUAGCUUCUGCUGUAACGCCAAGGUCGCGGGUUCGACCCCCGUACUGACCA